rnacentral:rRNA from 1 species
UACGAAGGGUCCAAGCGUUAUCCGGAUUUAUUGGGUUUAAAGGGUGCGUAGGCGGGUUGUUAAGUCAGAUGUGAAAUCCCCGGGCUCAACCUGGGAAUGGCAUUUGAGACUGGCAGGCUAGAGUGUGUCAGAGGGGGGUAGAAUUCCACGUGUAGCAGUGAAAUGCGUAGAGAUGUGGAGGAACACCGAUGGCGAAGGCAGCCCCCUGGGAUAACACUGACGCUCAUGCACGAAAGCGUGGGGAGCAAACAGG